rnacentral:lncRNA from 1 species
CUAUUGCUAUAUAUGGAAACUUACAUUUACUUCAAAGUACCUCUGUUGCAAUAUAUGAAAAAUUAAUUUUACUUCAUAGUAGACGGCUGUGACGAAAAGACAGUUGUUCAUAAAAAUAACACAAAUAAUUAAAACAACUAGAAUACAAAAACUAUGCGAUUACAACCAUCAAAACAAUUUUGAACAUGUACUGCACCAUCCUACGAGUGUCUUGGUCGGUCUUAAUAUCCACCCAUUCACGCACUUCUCCGUUUUGGUUGAACGUGGACACAAGCCAUUGUAUUCUUCUAAUCCGUUCACCCUCUCCAAUUUCU